CCCACUCACCCAACCUAGAUACUUGAGCUCUCUAAGUAAUCCCCUCCCUCGCCAGAGCUUUCUGAAAUGGUAAAUGUUUGCUGGGGGGGGGGGGGAAUAUGUGUUUUUCUUGUGAAAUGUUUCACCCUGGUGCAGCUUAUUUCCACUGAGCAUGGGGAAAUGUUGCACUGGUGUGGGAAAUAAGGAUUUCAACUGUGACAUUCCACAGGUCCCCUUCAGGCAUUUCACCAGUGAUGUAAGGGGAGGAAGGUUGUUGGUCUUUCACAGCACAAGGUGUAUCUAUAGAAAGUGGGGGGCAGCUUUGGUAAAGUUGUAAAGCUUUUGUAAGCUUUUGUAAAGCUUUUGUAAAGCUUAAAACAGCUUUUAGGCUCUGUAUACAGAUAUGGAACAUAUCUGAAAGCAUGCAUACACACACUUUGUAAAAAUUAAAUCUAUGCAUUAGCCCAGCAGAAUUCCAGACCUAUAUCACAGUAUCCAGUAUCUGGUAGGCUGUAUGUUAGCCACCCCUAAUUUAUCCCUAUCCUCUGCUUAUCUUUAGCUGCAUUCACGUGGCAGUUUAUUGUGCUUCCCUGAUGUUUCCCUAACUAUUAAUUUCCACAUUACACUUGUGCUUUCACACAAUGCAAAAGUCUGUUCUCGAAAUCCAGCAGAAUCUAGUGGAAAUUCAGCAUCCAUUUCUGUGUUAAUUGUUUUCUGGGGGAAGGGGGGAUGAUUUGCAGGUACCUUAAUCCAGAAAAUAAUGGGAGCUGUAAAGUGUUGAAAUUUGGGGUUCAGUACCAGCAUAUAAUUCUUUCCUGCCAUUUUUGUGGGUGAAUCAUGGUGGAACAGAAGCACAGAUGUGCAGGAAGGCUGAGGGAGUAGUGAUAUAGGUUGACAUGAUGGCAUAUCAGUAAAAAGCCACAAUUCCAAAUGCUCUCCAAAAAGGAUCUCCACCUAGAGCACAUUGGCAGUUCUCUCAUUUGGUGCCAAGGCUUGUGAAAUAGUUUCAGGUGCAACUGGGUGUGAGCACAGAUCCCAUCCAAAAUGCAAUCACCUGCCCUGAUAACCCAUCUGUUAGUUUUCUUAUUUGUUCUUUUCUAUUGUAUCAUAAAUGUACAUUGUGUUUUAUAUCUGGAAUACAGAGAUAUCCCUGUACCAAAGAGCCAACAGUUUAAGCUGCAUAGAUCACAUACAUUUAAAGCACCCCUCCCAAGCAUCCAUGGAACUGUAGUUUGUUAAGGGUGCUGGGAAUUGUGAGGGGUAAACUACACUUCCCAUGAUUCUUUUUUGGGGGGAGAGCUAUGCUUCAAACGUGCUUUAAAUCUAUGGUGUGUACACAGCCACUGUUGCCAUUGAUUGUUAGUGGCCAAGCUGUGCUGAAAUGAACAGAAAGGCUUUGAAUAGCAAGGCAGACACAGGCUAAAACAUUAUGUUGCAUUUUAAUGAUGUUACAUUCUUUAAGCCUCCACAAUAUGUUGGGCUUUAUAAGCUCAAGUACAGAUGAAACACACAGAUACACUGUAGAAAAUCGAAGGAAUAGUCUUGGUUGCCAUGCGGCAGUAUUCAGAUCGCUGUGGCCUCUAGAUUCCUUUCGCCUCUGAUGUGGUGUUUGCUUUUCCCAGAGAUGCAUCAUUAUUCUUGUCCCAAACUCUUGAGCAGAGAGUACUGAAAACCCUUGGGAUCUACCCAUAAGAAACUGGACGCCGUGUAGAAGAGGCUAUUCUUUAACGACCCUUGUCUCUUUGCACUAAUUCCGGGCUGGAC
rnacentral:lncRNA from 1 species